GGGCCGGUCGUCUAGUCUGGUAGGAUACAGGGUCUCCGUCCAGUCCCUUGGCAUGGGAGAGGUCGGGGGUCCAAAUCCCCCCCGGUCCA
rnacentral:tRNA from 1 species